ensembl:lncRNA
AGAUGCUGUGUAGGAGGGGCUCUGGGUCUUCUCCAACGAAGACAGGUUAUAACAGAUGGCCUUUUUACCUAACCUGAGCGAGCCACUGUACUGACAGUGACUGGAGGCAACGCAGCCCUUCUUGAAGAGCUCCUCAUUCCCAUCCUGGGGCAUCUGAGUUCCUGAAGUGGGCACAGCGUUUACAGAGUCGGCAAUGGGAUGUGCAGCUUCGCAUCAUCUUAAGGCAGAUGGGAAAAAAAGGGUUCCAGUUCAACAACAGAUCACAUCUAUGGUGCCAGAAGGUGAGGGGGAUGAUUGCCAUGCAGCACAGUCUAUGUCUUGUAGCACAUUUCACCUUCCAGAAUUAGAUUUGACCGUGCGUUAUUCUGUUGCGGUUGGGACAGAUUUGUAGCGGGAUGGAUUAGUUCGUGAUCCAAUCUGUUCUGUUGGAGUGUAUAUCACUGGUGAGCAAAUCGUGUCACUGAUGCCAUCUCAGCGUCGCAGCCUCCUGUUGGCAUUGCUCAGCCGUCCCUGGCCAUGGGGAUGGCUUCACCCGGCUCCCAGCUGCAAUGUACCAGCACACACUUCUCUCCCUGCUUGUGCCGUGAGCGCUUUGGCAUCAGCUGCUCCAAAUUAGAAAGUGAUGUUACGGGAAACUCAGUAACAGCACAGAAAUGCCAACGUAUCCUCUCUGCCGCCUCGUACUCUGCUUUGUUCAUCCAAAGAAUGUCUUAUACUGCACAACCACCUGGAGGGAUGAGCGCAGUGUUAUGGCUCCGGGAGGGGUGUGGUGCACCUCGAGCCCCAGACUAAAACACAGUGACAUGUAGGUGCUUCCUCUGUAUCACCUCCCUGGCAGAUCCCCUGGGGGACAAUUGAUCUGCCUUCCCUUGGGCCUCCUUAGGCUUCAUCUCACCUUUUGCUGUGGUUUGGGGUUAGCACUGUGGGUUGUAGGGCAUGCACCCAGCACAGGACCUUGGCAUCAGCAACUCAAGUCCCAUGGACCUGACUGAUCCUGUCUCUUGUUUCCAAACAGCAUUCACUUAUUUGUCUAAGCACCUUUUUGAAUGGUAGUCUCCCCAGAAAGGCGACAUUUUGUUCUUCUGGAUGCUGCCCACUGGAUGCUGCUCCACGGGCGGGUAAUUCCACCUGGGGGGUGGGGGGGAGCUGCUUCUGCCCGGCACUGAGCAAAGUCCCAUGCGCCCACGGUGGGCAGCAACAAUGGGUCCGCAGGAGGUGAGGAGAAGGGAAGAAUGAGCUGGGUUAGGGGAAAUACAGCCUGAAAGAAAAGGAAAGGGCCAGUGGAUCUGAAAGCCCCGAUAAAAGCCCGAGACAAAGGACAAAGGAGCCUGGGAGAUUACCAAAGGGAAGUGGGAGGAGGAGCAGGGAGAAUGAUGUCGAGUGGUACGGUGAUGAUGGGUCAAUGGUUGGAUGAGAUGAUCUCCGGGGUCUUUUCCAGCUUUUAUGAUUCUGCAAGAGUUGUGUGGAGGUGGGAGAUCCCCGGGUAGGGCAGAGGGUGCUGAACGGCUCGCUGCUCUCCAUAUAUAAGAACACAGCCUUUUCCCCUUUCUUGCUGGGAGCACCUGGCAAACUAAGGGACAGAUCCAGCAGGGAAACACGUCUGUGUCCAUCUGUAGCCCCACGUCUGCUUGCACACCCACAACAGCAGCCCUCUCUGGCUCCCCAUCCCCAACCACACAGAACCACGGAGAUGGCAGGCAGGGAGUCGGGCUGGGCAUCCAGCACCCUGCUGCUGGAGGAAGUGUCACACUGCUGCUGUUCGCCUGCUUAUUUUCUUCUAAUAAAAAGGUGGGCAUGACUCACUCCAUUAAGAAACAAAAGCAAAGCUGUAAUCUGCUGAAAGGCGGUUGUUUGGAGGCUCCGUGUUAGGUGUGAGAAGGGAGGAAGGUCAGCUGCAGGUCACAUCCCGUGAUACACAUACACCCCGUUGUCACUUCAGGUCCAACACCAGGGCUCUUCCCCAGGGAGUUUCUGAGCUGUAACAUUUGCCCCCUCUUUCAGACCGAGGCUGGGGAGAGAAUCUUUCCCUCCCACCCCUUCCCGUGCCACUGUGGUUUUCUGGGAGGAAAUGAUGCUCACUGCCACCGUGCCAGCCCCCUCCUUCCUCUGGAGAGGGAGAAGUGCUCACAUUGCCCUCAGCCCCUCCAUGCGGCGGGACCACUGAGCAGCUGGGCUGUACUGGGGGACCCGGGGGGAGCGGGACUGGUUUUCUGUCGGGGUGGCAGGAGCAGGGCUGAGGGCAGGAAGCAGGCUGUGCUCACGCUGUGCCGGAGGUUCUUCCCGCGUGACCGGGAGCAGAAGCCCCCAGCUAUUAAUCAUAGGGUGAUCACGGAGGGGACGGCGUGGGGUCACGCUGACGGCAGCACCCACACUGGGACCAACACCUGCAACCACCCACCAGCUGUCUGGUGUUGUUCCAUCCGACACCCACUGACGUAGAGCAGAGGGGUCGGGUGGACCCAUCUGGGGGCUGCAGGGGUUUGAAAGAGGAAGAAGUGGAGGUGCUUCGAAACUGCUCGUGGCUUUGCUUCCCAUCAGCUCGAGUGUUUUCCUUGUGCAGUCUCCUUCAUGCGUCUGCAUUCCUGCUGCAGGCACUUUGGGGCAGGGUGGCACUUCCUGCCCGCGGUGGAGGUGAGCAUAUUUCGGGGCAGCAUCAGAAUAAUAACAGCGUGCUGCUCCCGAGCAGCUCCACUGUGACCUUCCCUGGCUGCCGUGAGCUGGGCUGGAGCACAGCCUUCUGCCCGACUUCUUCCAGGGAUUGCCACUUCUCUUUUUGAUUACUUCAUAAAACUCAUCUCUGAGGAAAGGGAAAGUGCUCAGUUUCCCAAUUCCGUGUAUCAGUGUGAUGACCUCGGGCCACAGCGGCAGGUUGUGCUCUGCUGCAUUGCUCUUCCUCAGGCCUCUGGGCACAGUCCUGCAGCCUACGCCUUUGCUACCAGCAAGGGGACAUCAGAUCCCCAAAGAGUCACCGCUUCUCCUGACCCCAUUCCCGUUCGUCCCCUUUUCGCCAUUCAUUCAUUCAUUCAUUCUGCACAGCAGCACUUCCCACCUUGUCCACAGCUGCCUCCUGCUUUGCUGCCAG